rnacentral:rRNA from 1 species
GCAUAUCAAUAAGCGGAGGAAAAGAAACCAACAGGGAUUGCCCUAGUAACGGCGAGUGAAGCGGCAACAGCUCAAAUUUGAAAUCUGGCGCAAGCCCGAGUUGUAAUUUGUAGAGGAUGCUUCUGGGUAGCGACCGAUCUAAGUUCCUUGGAACAGGACGUCAUAGAGGGUGAGAAUCCCGUAUGUGACCGGCCCGCACCCUUUACGUAGCUCCUUCGACGAGUCGAGUUGUUUGGGAAUGCAGCUCUAAAUGGGAGGUAAAUUUCUUCUAAAGCUAAAUACCGGCCAGAGACCGAUAGCGCACAAGUAGAGUGAUCGAAAGAUGAAAAGUACUUUGGAAAGAGAGUUAAAAAGCACGUGAAAUUGUUGAAAGGGAAGCGCCUAUAACCAGACUUCGCGGCAGUGUUCCGCCGGUCUUCUGACCGGUUCAUUCUCUGUCGCGAGGCCAUCAUCGUCUGGGCCCGCCGGAUAAGACCUUAGGAAUGUAGCUCACCUUCGGGGGAGUGUUAUAGCCUAUGGUGAUGCGGCGAGGCUCGGGCGAGGUCCGCGCUUCGGCAAGGAUGAUGGCGUAAUGGUUGUCGGCGGCCCGUCUUGAAACACGGACCAAGGAGUCUAACAUCUAUGCGAGUGUUCGGGUGUCAAACCCCUACGCGUAAUGAAAGUGAACGGAGGUGGGAACCGCAAGGUGCACCAUCGACCGAUCCUGAUGUCCUCGGAUGGAUUUGAGUAAGAGCAUAGCUGUUGGGACCCGAAAGAUGGUGAACUAUGCCUGAAUAGGGUGAAGCCAGAGGAAACUCUGGUGGAGGCUCGCAGCGGUUCUGACGUGCAAAUCGAUCGUCAAAUUUGGGUAUAGGGGCGAAAGACUAAUC